ensembl:misc_RNA Metazoa_SRP Metazoan signal recognition particle RNA
GGUGGUGGCAUGUGCCUGAAGUCCCAGCUACUUGGGAGGUUGAGGCUGGAGGAUCGCUUGAGCCCAGGAGUUCUGGGCUGUAGUGCACCAUGCUGAUCAGGUGUCCCCACUAAGUUCGGCAUCGAUAUGGUGACCUCCCAGAAGCGGGGGACCACCAGCUUGCCUAAGGAGGGGUGAACUGGCCCAGGUUGGAAAUGGAGCAGGUCAAAACUCCCAUGCUGAUCAGUAGUGGGAUCGUGCCUGUAAAGAGCCACUGCACUCCAGCCUGGCAACAUAGCAAGACUCUGUCUCUA